GGAAGCAUAGGUAAGAGCUGCCUGAGACUUGGGCAGGAACAGCAAGGAAGAGCUGGCAGAAGUUGCUUAAUAGAGCUUCAGGAAACCCAGUGGAGAGACCUGAGCUCAGAUGGGAGCGUAACAGGACUACUGGCUUACAAAUAACAUCAAAAGAAUAGCAACAUCAUCCAAAUCAUUCUGUGACUAAUUUAUAAUGAAGAGGAGGACAUCAACUUGACUUUAAGUUUUGAACUAGUAAACUGAGGAAGUCAGUCUCAAAUCCAACUGGAGUGGUUACAAAACUCAGUCACACUUACCAUUCACCAAACUGUACAGCUUUCAGCACUCCUACAGCAGCUGUACUCUGCCAAUCAAACCCCUGACCUACAUGAUCAGCAUGGGCUCUUGUUCGAUCUUCAAAGAGAACUUCACGGGGCUCACUGGUCCGAGGAAAAUAAAGUUACCGGCGCCGUUUGAAUGGUGAUUUUGGCAUAUCUGCUGUCGGGAUCAUCUGUUCUCCUGGUCUCACCCACAUUAUGGGGCCAUCAUCACUUUGUGACCUGCACUGAAGCUGGAG